UGAACGCUCAAGCUCAAGCUCAAGAAGAAGCUAUCUUUCGCAGGAGCUAGAGUACGGAUCUGCAGGCUGGUGAAGGGAACAAGCACUUUCUUGAAGAAAACAACAAGAAAGUGACUGAAUGGAUCGCAUGGCGUCCCGGCUGCGGUUUGGAUUCCUGCGGCAUCAUUAGCCGAACACGGAAUUCUUGGACGAUGUAGUAGGGGCAGUAGAAGUAGUAGAAGCAGCAAAAGUAGCAGAGGUAGAUUUUUAAACCUCUGGCGCACACCGACCCCGGACACUGGCAAAGAGCAUGAAGCGCUGCUUCAACAAGAGUCGGGGAUGGCGAAGCCACUGCACAGCGUUGCCAGCUACAUUGUCGGUGAAUGCUAUCGUGACGAAACAUCACAUCAUCAUGGCGAUCGGAAUGUACAAUGCGAAAGGCAUACAAUGGAUCUGUACAAGCGGAAAAAGAAGUGCUAUCAAUAAUUUAACCUGAGCACCAGGACUAUUC
rnacentral:lncRNA from 1 species